rnacentral:lncRNA from 1 species
UGUGAUUGGUUGUGAGCAGUACAUACUCAUAUCAUUCUCAUUAAUAAAAUAUUGGUACCACCGUGACAAUAUCUGAGAAAUACUGGCAACACAUUUUAUAAAACCCUCCCCGUAGGAAAUACUGGGAAGGAGUUAUUGUAACACCUUAUAAAACUCAUUUUGAGGGAUGUUCCAGAAAGAAGAUAUGAGAUAUUUGGAUUUUAUUCGGGUUGAAACCCCCCCCCCCC